GAAACACAAACUCACUGGAAAGAAGCAGCUUACUUGAAGGGUCUUGAAAACCAGGCAUGAUCAAGCCACAACUGGCACAGAAGAUGCGCUUUAGACGUGUUCAGAGAAAACUUCAAACAAGUGUUACUCUACCAAAGCAACUCCAGAUUUUCUUCAUUUUCUCUCACACAAUGGCUCGGAUCCUUCUGACACCACAAAGGAAAAAUGCCUUAAGAGCUGGGGAAGCAUUCAAGAAGUAAUUCAUAGCAAACUGA